rnacentral:rRNA from 1 species
UAAAAGUCGUAACAAGGUUUCCGUAGGUGAACCUGCGGAAGGAUCAUUAAAGAGUAAGGGUGCUCAGCGCCCGACCUCCAACCCUUUGUUGUUAAAACUACCUUGUUGCUUUGGCGGGACCGCUCGGUCUCGAGCCGCUGGGGAUUCGUCCCAGGCGAGCGCCCGCCAGAGUUAAACCAAACUCUUGUUAUUUAACCGGUCGUCUGAGUUAAAAUUUUGAAUAAAUCAAAACUUUCAACAACGGAUCUCUUGGUUCUCGCAUCGAUGAAGAACGCAGCGAAAUGCGAUAAGUAAUGUGAAUUGCAGAAUUCAGUGAAUCAUCGAAUCUUUGAACGCACAUUGCGCCCCUUGGUAUUCCGAGGGGCAUGCCUGUUCGAGCGUCAUUACACCACUCAAGCUAUGCUUGGUAUUGGGCGUCGUCCUUAGUUGGGCGCGCCUUAAAGACCUCGGCGAGGCCACUCCGGCUUUAGGCGUAGUAGAAUUUAUUCGAACGUCUGUCAAAGGAGAGGAACUCUGCCGACUGAAACCUUUAUUUUUCUAGGUUGACCUCGGAUCAGGUAGGGAUACCCGCUGAACUUAAGCAUA